rnacentral:lncRNA from 8 species
AAUGGCUCCUGGCUCCAGCCGUAAGCUGUGUCCUAGUUGUAACACAUCAAUAAGAGGAGCAUCAAAGAAGAGCCAGUUCUGUGGUGCAACAAUCCAGCUAAAGGUCAAGUUAGAGGCCCAAAAAAGGAAGGCUACAGAUGAAUGGGCAAAUAAGACAAUGAAACAUGGAAGAUAUGCAACCUUGGUUAAUGCAGCAAACAAGCUGGUACAUAGGUUCCACAAGGUAGGAGGGAACCCCCUGCUACUCCUCAGCAAGAGGAAAAAGGAUAACAUUUUGUCGUCGACUGCACUGUGUCCUCACAGUGGUAUGAUGAGUCAGACCUCAAUGGCAGCAAUCCAAAGGUUGUAUGAGGCAAUUGUGAAAGAACUGUCUGAUACAGUUGCCCCCCAGGAGACCAGCUACACCCCCAUCCUCAACCAGGUUGAACCCCCGAUAUCCCCCACCACCCAGGAGACCAGCUACACCCCCAUCCUCAACCAGGUUGAACACCCGAUAUCCCCCACCACCCAGGAUGCCAGCUACACCCCCAUCCUCAACCAGGUUGAACCCCCGAUAUCCCCCACCACCCAGGAUACCAGCUACACCCCCAUCCUCAACCAGGUUGAACCCCCGAUAUCCCCCACCACCCAGGAUACCAGCUACACCCCCAUCCUCAACCAGGUUGAACCCCCGAUAUCCCCCACCACCCAGGAUACCAGCUACACCCCCAUCCUCAACCAGGUUGAACCCCCGAUAUCCCCCACCACCCAGGAUACCAGCUACACCCCCAUCCUCAACCAGGUUGAACCCCCGAUAUCCCCCACCACCCAGGAGACCAGCUACACCCACACCAAACCAAAGAAGACAGAGAGAAAGUCCUGUCGCCCUCAAAAAACCCUCCAACUCGCUGAGCAUGAUGACAGUUCACCCCAUCCAAUCCCAUUCAACCCCAUCCAACCCCAUCCAACCGUAUCCUACCCCAUUCUACCCCAUCCAACCGUUUCCAACCCCAUCAAACCCCAUUCUACCCCAUCCAAGCCCGACCAAGGAAGAGGAAAUAUGACUACAUGCAAAAAGAGUGUCCAGUGCAUCCGGGGCAAAUGAUUUUCCCUAUUCUCAAGAUUCUUGCCAAUAGAACUUCAAAGGAGGGUCAGGAGCAGAAAGUGAGGUGGAAGCUCUGAAUG